AGGGCUAAACCCUGGAGCUGAGCAAUGGGAAGGCUGUUAGAUGGCACUGUCUUUUCUCAGGGCAUCUGAGAAAAUCUUCUCUCGUCUGAAAAAGAAAGAUUCAGAGUUUUUUUGCACCAUGUUCUGUACCAUUUCAUCAGCUGUAUCUCUUGGGCAGAGAAAGAAUACGUUCCUGUACCCCCUAUAAUAUGUCCUCAAGCAGCAGAAAGGUUCAUAUAUCCCAUAUGGAGCUUUGUGGCUUCAGGCCCACUCCUUUUUGGAAGAGAAGAUGGGUGAUUAGGUGGCACCUACCCCAGGUCUGGAUGUUCUCAUACCAAACAUUCUGUUCUGCUUGAUGC